GACGAACGCUGGCGGCGUGCUUAACACAUGCAAGUCGAACGGAAAGGCCCUGCUUUUGUGGGGUGCUCGAGUGGCGAAUGGGUGAGUAACACGUGAGUAACCUGCCCUUGACUUUGGGAUAACUUCAGGAAACUGGGGCUAAUACCGGAUAGGAGCUCCUGCUGCAUGGUGGGGGUUGGAAAGUUUCGGCAGUUGGGGAUGGACUCGCGGCUUAUCAGCUUGUUGGUGGGGUAGUGGCUUACCAAGGCUUUGACGGGUAGCCGGCCUGAGAGGGUGACCGGCCACAUUGGGACUGAGAUACGGCCCAGACUCCUACGGGAGGCAGCAGUGGGGAAUAUUGCACAAUGGGCGGAAGCCUGAUGCAGCAACGCCGCGUGCGGGAUGACGGCCUUCGGGUUGUAAACCGCUUUCGCCUGUGACGAAGCGUGAGUGACGGUAAUGGGUAAAGAAGCACCGGCUAACUACGUG
rnacentral:rRNA from 1 species